UUCCGGUUGAUCCUGCCGGACCCGACUGCUAUUUGGGUGAGAAUAAGCCAUGCGAGUCGAAUGGGAUACCUAAAUUUUCCAUGGCAAACUGCUCAUUAACACAUGAUCAACUUACCCUAUAGAGAAAAAUAACCUCGGGAAACUGAGGAUAAUAUUUCGUAGUUGAAUAGGCUUGGAAAAGUUUUUCAAUAAAAAGGAUAAAAAAAAUGGUUUUUAUCUGCUAUAGGAUAGGAUCGUGGACGAUUAUGGUUGUUGGUGAGGUAACGGCUCACCAAGCCGAUAAUCGAUAGGGGCCGUGAGAGCGGGAGCCCCGAGAUGGGUACUGAGACAACGACCCAGGCCUUACGAGGCGCAGCAGGCGCGGAACCUCCGCAAUACACGAAAGUGUGACGGGGUUACCCAAAGUGUUCAAUUCUGAACUGUGGUAGGUGAGUAAUGUCCCCUACUAGAAAGGAGAGGGCAAGGCUGGUGCCAGCCGCCGCGGUAAAACCAGCUCUUCAAGUGGUCGGGAUAAUUAUUGGGCUUAAAGUGUCCGUAGCCGGUUUAGUAAGUUCCUGGUAAAAUCGGGUAGCUUAACUAUCUGUAUGCUAGGAAUACUACUAUACUAGAGGGCGGGAGAGGUCUGAGGUACUACAGGGGUAGGGGUGAAAUCUUAUAAUCCUUGUAGGACCACCAGUGGCGAAGGCGUCAGACUGGAACGCGCCUGACGGUGAGGGACGAAAGCCAGGGGAGCGAACCGGAUUAGAUACCCGGGUAGUCCUGGCCGUAAACGAUGCAUACUAGGUGAUGGCACGGGCCAUGAGCCGUGUCAGUGCCGUAGGGAAACCGUUAAGUGUGCCGCCUGGGAAGUACGGUCGCAAGGCUAAAACUUAAAGGAAUUGGCGGGGGAGCACCACAAGGGUGAAGCCUGCGGUUCAUUGGAUUCAACGCCGG
rnacentral:rRNA from 1 species